rnacentral:tRNA from 1 species
ACAAAGUGUAGCUUAAAUAAAGCGUCUAGUCUACACCUAGAAGAUUUCAUAUAAACUGACCACUUUGA